AUGAACGCUGGCGGCGUGCCUAAUACAUGCAAGUCGCGCGAACAGACGAGGAGCUUGCUCCUCUGACGUUAGCGGCGGACGGGUGAGUAACACGUGGAUAACCUACCUAUAAGACUGGGAUAACUUCGGGAAACCGGAGCUAAUACCGGAUAAUAUAUUGAACCGCAUGGUUCAAUAGUGAAAGACGGUUUUGCUGUCACUUAUAGAUGGAUCCGCGCCGCAUUAGCUAGUUGGUAAGGUAACGGCUUACCAAGGCAACGAUGCGUAGCCGACCUGAGAGGAUGAUCGGCCACACUGGAACUGAGACACGGUCCAGACUCCUACGGGAGGCAGCAGUAGGGAAUCUUCCGCAAUGGGCGAAAGCCUGACGGAGCAACGCCGCGUGAGUGAUGAAGGUCUUCGGAUCGUAAAACUCUGUUAUUAGGGAAGAACAAAUGUGUAAGUAACUAUGCACGUCUUGACGGUACCUAAUCAGAAAGCCACGGCUAACUACGUG
rnacentral:rRNA from 1 species